GUGCCCAGAUUUUCUGUUUGUGUUGGUGUUCUUGAAUAUCUGAUCACCCCUUGACUAUCCAAUCAGAUCUAAGAUUGGGCACUUAAACCUAAUUGAUUAGCGCUGUGGAGUGUAGGGCAAUCAGGUAGCCCACAGCUGUUAACUGGCUAAUUUUCUCUGGGGUAGUUCAUUUCACCAAUAGUGGAUCCCACAAUCUUCUGUCUGAAGGGCUGUGAGGCUGCUGCUGUUCUGGAGCUGGAGUCUUUCAAUAAGUAUUUCCCUUUAUUCCCUGGUCUUCAGUGUUGAAUUUAAAUGACAACCUUAUUCCUGGGCUAAGGACCUCAGAACUUCUCUGGUUCAGUUAUCUGAGGGCAGUGGUUGUUAGGUAUACAACAGAAUCACCUGGAAGACUUGUUAAACCACAGGCAAUUGGGCCUUGUCUCCAGAUUUUCUGAUUCAGUAGGACUGGGAUGAGUUUGAAAACACACGCAUCCCCAACAAUAGGAUCCAAGAUCUAGGGCUUGGAGACCACCACUCUGGAGAAUAAACUUCUGGCUUUGCAUGGAGGAUCCACAUUCCCAGGUGAAACAGAGUGCCUGAAGAUCCCCGUGUCACAGUGAAACUUUCACAGCACAAAACUAAGCCGACAACAGAGACUUUAUUCACGGCUAUUUCAAGAGGGGAGAGAGGAGAGAACUACGAACUCAACCCUGCUGAAACAAAGAGGAGCAGAGUUUAGAGGCUCCUGAACUGGAAUUGAUAACGGUGAUGUAAACAUUCCUUGACUUCAUCAGACCCGUGUUCUGAAUCUGAGUGUGAGAAAAUGACUCCUAAAGAGACAAUAGAACCGGAAGGAAUUCAGCUAAGGAAACAUUCUGUGUUUAUAUGACCCACUUUUCAUGAGAAUGGAGUAACAUUCAUGAGAAGGCCAAAUGUGGGUCUUUCCAAAAGGCAAGAUGUAAGAAAAACAGUCUUUAAACGUAGAGUGCCAAGGAAAAGAGGAGAAUAAAGCUAGAAGUUCAAGCUCCCUGAAUAUUUAAAUUUUGUGAGAUAAGUAGGUGUGUGAAGAAGCUAAAAGUAAUUUUAUUUCUUUUGUUACAUAUUUGAUUUGUGUUAAGAACAAAUGGUACUCUCCCAUAAUGAAAGCAGUUCUGACAUUUUGGUGUGUUUCAUUGUUGGGCUAUGCACAGAGUGUUCCUAUGUCUUUGUUAAUGUAUUUUGAAUAAAGAUGGGUUUUAUAU